rnacentral:misc_RNA from 1 species
GAUGAAGAACGCAGCGAAACGCGAUAGUUAAUGUGAAUUGCAGAAUUCAGUGAAUCAUCGAGUCUUUGAACGCACAUUGCGCCCAUUGGUAUUCCGUUGGGCAUGUCUGUUUGAGCGUCAUUACAACAGUUCAGCGUAAGCUGGUUAUGAGUUCUGUUUUUUUAAACAAAAAACAGGCUUUAAAAUGUAUGUUCUGCAGGUCGCUUUGCUAAACCCUAAACAUUAAAUACUGUUCUAGUGAAGCAUUUGCGACUCUGCCUGAAAAAAAACUUUUGUUAAAGUUUGACCUCAGAUCAGACAAGGAUACCCGCUGAACUUAAGCAUAUCAUAAGCGGAGGA